UCCACUGUCAACCACAAACAGCAAGCUGCUAA
rnacentral:piRNA from 1 species